rnacentral:rRNA from 1 species
UACGUAGGGGGCGAGCGUUACCCGGAUUUACUGGGCGUAAAGCGCGUGUAGGCGGCUGGUCAAGCGUGGUGUGAAAUCUCCGGGCUCAACCCGGAAACUGCAUUGCGAACUGACCUAGCUGGAGUGCAGGAGAGGGCAGCGGAAUUCCCGGUGUAGCGGUGAAAUGCGUAGAUAUCGGGAAGAACACCAGUGGCGAAGGCGGCUCACUGGCCCGGUACUGACGCUGAGGCGCGAAAGCGUGGGGAGCAAACAGG